AUAAUAAGGGGUAUUUUGGUAACUCAUGACAAAACUGAAAUCAAGAAAGGAAGAAUUAGAGUGGCAUGUAAAUUUAGGAAAAGCCCUUUUUUAUAUAGUGUUGUAGAUAGUAUAUAUGUAGGGUAGAAUUGGAAAGGAAAAUGCUCGGAAACUCCCUCUUUUUAUGGUAUAUUAGAUAAUAAAGAAAUUAUACAUAAUAGGAAAAGCCCUUUUUUAUAUAGUGUUGUAGUUUAGACUAUUGCAAGUGCCUCCUUUUUAUAGAUUCAUUGCAGAUUUCCCCACACUAACCAUUGACUGUGCUAUCCUCGACUAACUGACUCUUUUACUCCUGUCUCACAUACAGCUAGUUGUAUACGCGUUGGCCUAUCAACACUACUAUCUUCGACUAAUUGGCUGUUUUACUUUUACUCCUAUCUCAUACACAACUAGUUGUAGACACGUUGGCCUAUCAUCAAGCGUAUAUGUCAUCCAACCUGUUCAACAUGGUCUCUCUGCAAUGAAAAUGGGAAAUGCAAAAAAUAAGGCAAGUCUGACCAUCAAGUGGCCCACCACAUGAAUUUCGAGGUUUUCGGGUGGUUCUCCCUUGUUUUAUAUGGUGUGGCCCACCUGAUGAUUGCAGGUUUUAUAUGCACAAAGAACCCAUAGGCAAAUGAUAAUUGCAGGUUGUAAUUGGUCUUUACAUAUUGGCUGUGUUGACAAAAGAAAGUUUUCCUACAGGAGAGUAUGACAAGCUUUAGGAGCUAGCGAACUCUGCCUAUUCCACAUGGAUUCCUGCAAGGGGAGGCUUUUUCUGGUGGACAAAUUUAUUUUUCCAGACAGGCCUCUAGCUGGCACGAAAGAACUUUUUGCCAGAUUUGAUAUUAGAAGUAGAAAUAGGUCCAAGGGCUGAGAAUUGCUGUCAUUACAACAGUAUAAAAGGUAAUUAGAAGGGUGUAAAGGGCUCUUAAACUUUGUUAAAUUGAGAAGGAAAAAAAAUGGUUCGGGAGAGUAGACUUUCCUUCUUCCAUGAAGGGUAAGUGCAGUUUGUUUGGUUAAAAUUUUCCAUUUUGUUAAAUGUGGUUAGCCUUCUAAUGUUUUCUAUAUUCUUGUUACUUGUGGAUAAUUGUAUGUGGUUUUGGAUUGAUCGACGCCACAUCCCGGAGAUAAAAAAUGGGCAAACAAUCCUGUUACAAUCUAGUGAUAAUAAAUCCAAAACCUUACUGCUAUUUUUUAAAAUUUUGCUAUAAGAUAAUAAUGGUUCCAAAACUUUCCCUGGGAGUGCCUAUAAUAUCGAAGGCCAAUUGCACAUUUUUUCUUCUAAGGAAGAAGAUGCAUUAAGAAAACAUAUAACGUUAUGUUGAUUGUCCUAAACAUGCGCCUUUAAUAUAGUUAACCAAGUGUUGUCACUGCAACCUGGUUUUGUAAUUAGCCAGUAUAGACUACUAAUCUCUUGAUUUUAUUGAGAGUGGGGAAACAACACUGACUCUAUGUUGAAGCAAUGAGUAAGACACAACUGUUAUCUUAGUUGGUCCUUUUAUAGUGUUUAUAUCUA